rnacentral:tRNA from 1 species
UCCCUGGUGGCUCAGAUGGUAAAGAAUCUGCCUACAAUGCAGGAGACCCAGGUUCAAUCCCUGGGUUGGGAA